rnacentral:rRNA from 1 species
UUGGUGGCGACCGGCGCGACGGGUGAGUAACGCGUAUGCAACCUACCUAUCAGGAGGGGAAUAACCCGGCGAAAGUCGGACUAAUACCGCAUAAAACAGGGGCACCGCAUGGUGAUAUUUGUUAAAGAAAUUCGCUGAUAGAUGGGCAUGCGUUCCAUUAGGUAGUUGGUGAGGUAACGGCUCACCAAGCCGACGAUGGAUAGGGGAACUGAGAGGUUGGUCCCCCACACUGGUACUGAGACACGGACCAGACUCCUACGGGAGGCAGCAGUGAGGAAUAUUGGUCAAUGGGCGGGAGCCUGAACCAGCCAAGUCGCGUGAAGGAAGAAGGAUCCAUGGUUCGUAAACUUCUUUUGCAGGGGAAUAAAGUGCAGGACGUGUCCUGUUUUGUAUGUACCUUAUGAAUAAGGAUCGGCUAACUCCGUGCCAGCAGCCGC